rnacentral:rRNA from 1 species
AUCCGGGGUGCGGACAGUGUCUGGUGGGUAGUUUGACUGGGGCGGUCUCCUCCUAAAGAGUAACGGAGGAGCACGAAGGUCAGCUAAUCACGGUCGGACAUCGUGAGGUUAGUGCAAUGGCAUAAGCUGGCUUGACUGCGAGAGUGACGGCUCGAGCAGGUGCGAAAGCAGGUCAUAGUGAUCCGGUGGUUCUGAAUGGAAGGGCCAUCGCUCAACGGAUAAAAGGUACUCCGGGGAUAACAGGCUGAUACCGCCCAAGAGUUCAUAUCGACGGCGGUGUUUGGCACCUCGAUGUCGGCUCAUCACAUCCUGGGGCUGAAGUAGGUCCCAAGGGUACGGCUGUUCGCCGUUUAAAGUGGUACGCGAGCUGGGUUUAGAACGUCGUGAGACAGUUCGGUCCCUAUCUGCCGUGGGCGCUGGAGAAUUGAGGGGGGUUGCUCCUAGUACGAGAGGACCGGAGUGAACGCACCACUGGUGUUCGGGUUGUCAUGCCAAUGGCAUUGCCCGGUAGCUAAGUGCGGAAAAGAUAAGUGCUGAAAGCAUCUAAGCACGAAACUUGCCCCGAGAUGAGUUCUCCCUGACUCCUUGAGAGUCCUGAAGGGACGUUGAAGACUACGACGUUGAUAGGCCGGGUGUGUAAGCGCAGCGAUGCGUUGAGCUAACCGGUACUAAUGACCCGUGAGGCUUAACCUU